rnacentral:rRNA from 1 species
AGAAUUUCCGGAGGACAGUGGCAGAAGGGUGAGUAAUACAUGGGUAAUCUGCCUCAAAGCUGGGGAUAACUUGCCGAAAGGCGGGCUAACACCGAAUGUGGUUCCCCUUCGCAUGAAGGGGCGAUUAAAGGCGGGGAUCUUUCGGGACCUGCCACUUUGAGAGAGCUCAUGUCCCAUCAGCUAGUUGGUGAGGUAACGGCCCACCAAGGCUUACGGGUAGCUGGUCUGAGAGGAUGGUCAGCCACACUGGGACUGAGAUACUGCCCAGACUCCUACGGGAGGCUGCAGUCGAGGAUCAUUGGCAAUGCGCGAAAGCGUGACCAUGCGACGCUGCGUGGAGGAUGAAGGCCUUCGGGUUGUAAACUCCUGUCAUGUGGGACAAACGAUCCUGCCCCUAAUACGGGUAGGAAGUGAUGGUACCACAAGAGGAAGCCACGGCUAACUCUGUGCCAGCAGCCGCGGUAAUACAAAGGUGGCGAGCGUUGUUCGGAUUUACUGGGCGUGAAGGGUGUGUAGGCGGUCACGUGUGUCGGGUGUGAAAUCCCGCGGCUCAACUGCGGAACGGCAUCCGAAACUACGUGACUAGAGUGCAGGAGGGGAGAGUGAAAUUCUUGGUGUAGCGGUGAAAUGUGUUGAUAUCAAGAGGAACACCGGUGGCGAAGGCGGCUCUCUAGAAUGCAACUGACGCUGAGGCACGAAAGCUGGGGGAGCAAACAGGAUUAGAUACCCUGGUAGUCCCAGCCCUAAACGGUGUACACUUGGUGUGGGGAGUAUUGACCCUCUCCGUGCCGGAGCUAACGCGUUAAGUGUACCGCCUGGGGAGUACGGCCGCAAGGUUAAAACUCAAAGAAAUUGACGGGGGCCCGCACAAGCGGAGGAGCAUGUGGCUUAAUUCGAUGCAACGCGAAGAACCUUACCAGGGCUUGACAUGUAGCUGCAGGGCCGCUGAAAGGCGGUCGGCCUUCGAGGGUGCUACACAGGUGCUGCAUGGCUGUCGUCAGUUCGUGCCGUGAGGUGUUGGGUUAAGUCCCGCAACGAACGCAACCCCUGUGCUUAGUUGCUACCGCCGGUGAUGAAUCGGCGGGCACUCUAAGCAGACUGCCCGUAUAAGCGGGAGGAAGGUAGGGAUGACGUCAAGUCAGUAUGGCCUUUAUGCCCUGGGCUGCACACGUGCUACAAUGGCUGGUACAGAAGGAUGCAAGACCGCGAGGUGGAGCAAAUCCCCAAAACCAGCCCCAGUUCAGAUUGAAGGCUGCAACUCGCCUUCAUGAAGUUGGAUUCGCUAGUAAUGGCGCAUCAGCUACGGCGCCGUGAAUACGUUCCCGGGCCUUGUACACACCGCCCGUCACAUCAUGAAAGCCGUCUGCACCCGAAGUCGCCGAACCAACCCGCAAGGGAGGUAGGUGCCGAAGGUGUGGGUGGUG